rnacentral:rRNA from 1 species
UGGCUCAAGGACGAACGCUGGCGGCGUGCUUAACACAUGCAAGUCGAACGGAAAGGCCCCUUCGGGGGUACUCGAGUGGCGAACGGGUGAGUAACACGUGGGUGAUCUGCCCUGCACUUUGGGAUAAGCCUGGGAAACUGGGUCUAAUACCGAAUACACCUCAUGGGAUGCAUGUUUUGUGGGGGAAAGCUUUUGCGGUGUGGGAUGGGCCCGGGCCUAUCAGCUUGUUGGUGAGGUUACGGCUCACCAAGGCGACGACGGGUAGCCGGCCUGAGAGGGUGUCCGGCCACACUGGGACUGAGAUACGGCCCAGACUCCUACGGGAGGCAGCAGUGGGGAAUAUUGCACAAUGGGCGCAAGCCUGAUGCAGCGACGCCGCGUGAGGGAUGACGGCCUUCGGGUUGUAAACCUCUUUCGCCAGGGACGAAGCGCAAGUGACGGUACCUGAAAANAAGCCCGGCCAAUUACGGUGCCAGCAGCCGCGGUAAUACGUAGGGUGCGAGCGUUGUCCGGAAUUACUGGGCGUAAAGAGCUCGUAGGUGGUUUGUCGCGUUGUUCGUCAAAACUCACAGCUUAACUGUGGGCGUGCGGGCGAUACGGGCAGACUUGAGUACUGCAGGGGAGACUGGAAUUCCUGGUGUAGCGGUGGAAUGCGCAGAUAUCAGGAGGAACACCGGUGGCGAAGGCGGGUCUCUGGGCAGUAACUGACGCUGAGGAGCGAAAGCGUGGGGAGCGAACAGGAUUAGAUACCCUGGUAGUCCACGCCGUAAACGGUGGGUACUAGGUGUGGGUUUCCUUCCUUGGGAUCCGUGCCGUAGCUAACGCAUUAAGUACCCCGCCUGGGGAGUACGGCCGCAAGGCUAAAACUCAAAGAAAUUGACGGGGGCCCGCACAAGCGGCGGAGCAUGUGGAUUAAUUCGAUGCAACGCGAAGAACCUUACCUGGUUUGACAUGCACAGGACGUGCCUAGAGAUAGGUAUUCCCUUGUGGCCUGUGUGCAGGUGUGCAUGGCUGUGUCAGCUCGUGUCGUGAGAUGUUGGGUUAAGUCCCGCAACGAGCGCAACCCUUGUCUCAUGUUGCCACACGUAAUGGUGGGGACUCGUGAGA